AACGAACGCUGGCGGCGUGCCCAACACAUGCAAGUCGAACGGCGGCACAGGAGAGCUUGCUCUCUGGGUGGCGAGUGGCGGACGGGUGAGGAAUACAUCGGAAUCUACCUUUUCGUGGGGGAUAACGGAGGGAAACUUACGCUAAUACCGCAUACGACCUACGGGUGAAAGUGGGGGACCGCAAGGCCUCACGCGAUUAGAUGAGCCGAUGGCCGAUUAGCUAGUUGGCGGGGUAAUGGCCCACCAAGGCGACGAUCGGUAGCUGGUCUGAGAGGAUGAUCAGCCACACUGGAACUGAGACACGGUCCAGACUCCUACGGGAGGCAGCAGUGGGGAAUAUUGGACAGUGGGCGCAAGCCUGAUCCAGCCAUACCGCGUGGGUGAAGAAGGCCUUCGGGUUGUAAAGCCCUUUUGUUGGGAAAGAAAUCCUGUCGAUUAAUACUCGGUGGGGAUGACGGUACCCAAAGAAUAAGCACCGGCUAACUUCGUGCCAGCAGCCGCCGUAAGAC
rnacentral:rRNA from 1 species